rnacentral:tRNA from 1 species
GUUAAUGUAGCACAAUCUGGCUCUGCAAAAGACCUAAGCCCUUUAGAUAGAGGUUCAAACCCUCUCAUUAACU